UAGGGAAUCUUCGGCAAUGGACGAAAGUCUGACCGAGCAACGCCGCGUGAGUGAAGAAGGUUUUCGGAUCGUAAAACUCUGUUGUUAGAGAAGAACAAGGACGUUAGUAACUGAACGUCCCCUGACGGUAUCUAACCAGAAAGCCACGGCUAACUACGUUCCAGCAGCCGCGGUAAUACGUAGGUGGCGAGCGUUGUCCGGAUUUAUUGGGCGUAAAGCGAGCGCAGGCGGUUUCUUAAGUCUGAUGUGAAAGCCCCCGGCUCAACCGGGGAUGGUCAUUGGAAACUGGGAGACUUGAGUGCAGAAGAGGAGAGUGGAAUUCCAUGUGUAGCGGUGAAAUGCGUAGAUAUAUGGAGGAACACCAGUGGCGAAGGCGGCUCUCUGGUCUGUAACUGACGCUGAGGCUCGAAAGCGUGGGGAGCAAACAGG
rnacentral:rRNA from 1 species